rnacentral:rRNA from 1 species
UACGUAGGGGGGCUAGCGUUGUCCGGAUUUAUUGGGCGUAAAGAGCGUGUAGGCGGCCAGGUAGGUCUGCUGUGAAAACUCGAGGCUCAACCUCGAGACGUCGGCGGAAACCAUCUGGCUAGAGUCCGGAAGAGGAGAGUGGAAUUCCCUGGUGUAGCGGUGAAAUGCGCAGAUAUCAGGAAGAACACCCGUGGCGAAGGCGGCUCUCUGGGACGGUACUGACGCUGAGACGCGAAAGCGUGGGGAGCGAACAGG